GUCUAGGAUGUCAGCAGUUUCCUUGGCCUGUGGCUUCUUCCCAGAUGUGGGCAAAGGGAGCAUGCCAGGGAAGGAGGAAGGCUGCUCUGGGCGUCUCCAGUUUCUCAGACUUUCUUGGAUUUUGUUGACCUUGGCAGUCUUGAAGACUAUUGGUCAGCAGUCAGGCGCAAUCCAUGGGAGUGAAGAAAUUCUGUAGCUGCUUCUUUCUUCAUCAUGUGAUGAGAAACAACCAGGAGAUAAAGAAAGCACCACAUUCAUCUGUUUGAAUUGUUCAAAGUCAAAUACACUUGCUAAUUA